rnacentral:lncRNA from 1 species
CUAGAUCGAUGUCCUAGUCACCGCGCCGUCGACAAACCUACCAACAUCUCAUCUGCUGCGCAUCUCCACUUUUGCUCGCCUGCUUCUUUCUCAAGCGAUGCACCAAAGUCCAAAAUAGAGCUCCUAAUGCAUCACCACUGAUUUGGUUCAGACAAUUUAUACCUGCAAGGCUGCAUCGUCGUUAGAGUAUACCCUAGAAUCGAGCACGUAGAGUAGGAAAACCUGGAGCUAGAGUAGAUUAGUGACUCUGGUCGCGUCAGCAGUGAGUGUGUGUUUAUUUUAUCCAUUAUAAUUUAAUAAUCACGUGAGGCCGGCUAACACCGUCGUCGUACGUUCCGGCCUUGUGUUCCUGAUGGAC